rfam:Dracunculus medinensis genome assembly, scaffold: DME_contig0000002
AGAAAGGUUUUUUUUAAAACCAAUAAAAUAUAUUCUAAACAUCUAU